UUAGAGAUCAGAGUCUCACAGACUUUCUUGCCCUGGCUGGCUUCAAACCAUGAUCCUUAGGUCUCAGCCUCCUGAGUAGCUAGGAUUACAGGUGUGAACCACUGGUAACUAGCUGUUUUUAAAUUCUUUUACAGGAUUUGUAAGAUCUGAGUCUACUUUCCAUAGAUUGUCUGUCUCUCCUGAAUGGCAUGCUUAAGUGGUCACAUUCCUGAUGAAGGGCAAUAGAGAUUCCUUAAGAACAGACAACUUCUAUCUUCACUCUGACACUUCCAGGCUGUACAUUCUCUGACAAAAAGAGUAUCUUGACUGCCCCAAAUUAAUAUAAUAAAUUUGAAAAGCUAUUUUUCUUAGAGCUACUGAGUAAUGUAUUAUGGCAAAAACAUUCUUGAAACCUUUUCUGGGCUUCCUUGGUUAGGGGAUAUGAGACUUCAGUGUAGUGGCUUAAAAUAGUUAGUGUUUCUCUACUGUCUCAUGUUGCUAAGUUAUAUCUAGUUUGUUUUUUACCCCCAUGCUCAAUCAACAUUACCACUGUUGAGGGUUCCCUCCCUAUAUUUUCCUAAAUGAAAUAAUCACUAUGAGUUUAUCAAUUUUAAUAUAUUAUGUUUUUCUUUUUCCUUGCAAAAAUCUGCUUUCUUUUGUUUUUGGUCUAUUUUUAUUUUUCUAAUUACAUAUUCAUGUUAAUUGUAUAGUAUUCAAAUAUUACCACAAAAUGAUAUGGAAAUAUAAUAUUCUAUAAGCUCAUGUUCCAGAAAUAUAUAUCAUAGGUUCCUGUCCAUAUUUCUGGUAAAUGUGUAUUUAUUUAUAUAGUUGGUAUGUUUGCAUAGUUAUAACUCAUUCCAUUGUUGCUCCUUCAAAAUGAUGGUGAUUUAAAAGUGAAGUUCAACCCCUAGGUGUCUGUCACCCUUCUUCCUGCCUCCAGUUUUGUUUGAGCCCUAACAACUAGCAUUCUUAACUCGUGUUCUUAUAUUUUGGGUCCCAGUUAUUUAUUUCUAGUUAAUUGAUGUUGCUUUGUGAAUAGUCUUACUGUCUUUCGCUUGUUUGACGAAUCAAUGAGUCUUAAUUAUAAGAAUUCAAAAAUUCUGCUGUGCACUAGUGGCUUACACCUGUAAUUCUAGCUACUUAUGACUGAUGGUAUCAUUUCUGUACCUUAAGGUGGUUUCUUCCAGGCUUUACCUCUGAAAAAAUUAUUCCCCCUUCUAUAAUAAGGUUUCUUUGUAGUACUACAGAACUUCUGUUAUAUUCUUCCUCAAACUUUUGUCCUUUUUUGUGAAUUUGGGGCCUGUCUCUGAACAUAGCCUAAUCUUUCAGAUCUCCUAAUCCGUCAUUGCCCUAACUUAAUGUUUAAUGUUUCUGCAUCAGCCAUAAUGAGAACUUGACCUGGGAGAUAAAUAUUUGAUCACAAUAUCCACUGGUACUUACUUGAAGGAUAAAAGAAAUAGAGAAGCCUGGUACCGGAGGCUCACAUUUAUAAUCCUAUCUACUCAAGAGGCUGAGAUUUGAGGAUUGUGGUUGGAAGCCAGCCCAGGCAGAAAAGUCCGUGAGACAGGGACUCAUAGCUCCUAAUCUCUCAUGGCUCCUAAUCUUUCUUGUGAGCACUAAAUGGGAGCUCCUGGAAAAGAGCUCACCUGUGAGUGUCUACAGUGAGGCUCUCAGAGAUUCCUAAUGACACACAUUUCUGCACUUAGCCUCUAAUUAAAUUUUGGCUUCUUUUUCUUACCCUUAUAUAUAGCAGCUCACCAAAGACAAUACAUCCUUAAAAGGAUAUAUCGCUUUUUGGAGUUCAGUUACUUUAUGAUCUGAACCUUUGAUGGGCUAAAAUAUGACCUUGUAGAUUAUCCAACUUUUUCUUGUUGUUAGGAUGGAAGUUUUGCCUGCUUUCUGUAUCUUAAGCAGAAGCAGAACUGUUAGUUUAUGUUUUAUUUAAAAAAUAUGUUAGGUCAAG